CAAUAAGCGGAGGAAAAGAAACCAACAGGGAUUGCCCCAGUAACGGCGAGUGAAGCGGCAACAGCUCAAAUUUGAAAUCUGGCCCCCCGGGUCCGAGUUGUAAUUUGCAGAGGAUGCUCUUGGCGAGGCACCGUCCGAGUUCCCUGGAACGGGACGCCAUAGAGGGUGAGAGCCCCGUAUGGACGACUGCCGAGCCGCUGUAGAGCUCCUUCGACGAGUCGAGUAGUUUGGGAAUGCUGCUCUAAACGGGAGGUAAAUCUCUUCUAAAGCUAAAUACUGGCCACAGACCGAUAGCGCACAAGUAGAGUGAUCGAAAGAUGAAAAGCACUUUGAAAAGAGAGUUAAACAGCACGUGAAAUUGUUGAAAGGGAAGCGCUCAUGACCAGACUUGCGCCUGGCGGAUCAUCCGGCGUUCUCGCCGGUGCACUCCGCCUGGCACAGGCCAGCAUCGGUUCGCUGUCGGGGAGAAAGGCGGGGGGAAUGUGGCUCUUCGGAGUGUUAUAGCCCCCCGUGUAAUACCCUUCGGCGGACCGAGG
rnacentral:rRNA from 1 species